rnacentral:rRNA from 1 species
GACGAACGCUGGCGGCGUGCCUAAUACAUGCAAGUCGAACGCAGUGGGGACGGGUGAGUAACACGUGGGUAACCUCCCAUCAGAGGGGAUAACACUUGGAAACAGGUGCUAAACCGAUACUGAUGGAUGGACCCGCGGUGCAUUAGCUAGUUGGUGAGGUAACGGCUCACCAGGGCCACGAUGCAUAGCCGGCCUGAGAGGGUGAUCGGCCACCCUGGGACUGAGACACGGCCCAGACUCCUACGGGAGGCAGCAGUAGGGAAUCUUCGGCAAUGGACGAAAGUCUGACCGAGCAACGCCGCGUGUGUGAAGAAGGCCUUCGGAUUGUAAAGCUCUUUUGUUAGAGAAGCGUUACCUACCCAGAAAGCCACGGCUAACUCCGUGCCAGCAGCCGCGGUAAUUC